GCAUCACACAUACAAGUCUAGCGAUAGCACAGAGAGCUUGCUCUUGGGUGACGAGUGGCGGACGGGUGAGUAAUGUCUGGGGAUCUGCCCGAUAGAGGGGGAUAACCACUGGAAACGGUGGCUAAUACCGCAUAACGUCGCAAGACCAAAGAGGGGGACCUUCGGGCCUCUCACUAUCGGAUGAACCCAGAUGGGAUUAGCUAGUAGGCGGGGUAAUGGCCCACCUAGGCGACGAUCCCUAGCUGGUCUGAGAGGAUGACCAGCCACACUGGAACUGAGACACGGUCCAGACUCCUACGGGAGGCAGCAGUGGGGAAUAUUGCACAAUGGGCGCAAGCCUGAUGCAGCCAUGCCGCGUGUAUGAAGAAGGCCUUCGGGUUGUAAAGUACUUUCAGCGGGGAGGAAGGCGACGGGGUUAAUAACCCUGUCGAUUGACGUUACCCGCAGAAGAAGCACCGGCUAACUCCGUGCCAGCAGCCGCGGUAAUACGGAGGGUGCAAGCGUUAAUCGGAAUUACUGGGCGUAAAGCGCACGCAGGCGGUCUGUUAAGUCAGAUGUGAAAUCCCCGGGCUUAACCUGGGAACUGCAUUUGAAACUGGCAGGCUUGAGUCUUGUAGAGGGGGGUAGAAUUCCAGGUGUAGCGGUGAAAUGCGUAGAGAUCUGGAGGAAUACCGGUGGCGAAGGCGGCCCCCUGGACAAAGACUGACGCUCAGGUGCGAAAGCGUGGGGAGCAAACAGGAUUAGAUACCCUGGUAGUCCACGCCGUAAACGAUGUCGACUUGGAGGUUGUUCCCUUGAGGAGUGGCUUCCGGAGCUAACGCGUUAAGUCGACCGCCUGGGGAGUACGGCCGCAAGGUUAAAACUCAAAUGAGUUGACGGGGGCCCGCUCAAGCGGUGGAGCAUGUGGUUUAAUUCGAUGCAACGCGAGACCUUACCUACUCUUGACAUCCACGGAAUUUGGCAGAGAUGCCUUGGUGCCUUCGGGAACCGUGAGACAGGUGCUGCAUGGCUGUCGUCAGCUCGUGUUGUGAAAUGUUGGGUUAAGUCCCGCAACGAGCGCAACCCUUAUCCUUUGUUGCCAGCGAUUCGGUCGGGAACUCAUAGGAGACUGCCGGUGAUAAACCGGAGGAAGGUGGGGAUGACGUCCAGUCAUCCUGGCCCUUACGAGUAGGGCUACACACGUGCUACAAUGGCGCAUACAAAGAGAAGCGACCUCGCGAGAGCAAGCGGACCUCACAAAGUGCGUCGUAGUCCGGAUCGGAGUCUGCAACUCGACUCCGUGAAGUCGGAAUCGCUAGUAAUCAUGGAUCAGAAUGCCACGGUGAAUACGUUCCCGGGCCUUGUACACACCGCCCGUCACACCAUGGGAGUGGGUUGCAAAAGAAGUAGGUAGCUUAACCUUCGGGAGGGCGCUUACCACUUUGUGAUUCAUGACUGGGAGUG
rnacentral:rRNA from 1 species